rnacentral:rRNA from 1 species
CCUCUCCGUAGGUGAACCUGCGGAAGGAUCAUUACCUAGAGUUGUAGGCUUUGCCUGCUAUCUCUUACCCAUGUCUUUUGAGUACCUUCGUUUCCUCGGCGGGUCCGCCCGCCGAUUGGACACAUUUAAACCCUUUGUAGUUGCAAUCAGCGUCUGAAAAACUUUAAUAGUUACAACUUUCAACAACGGAUCUCUUGGUUCUGGCAUCGAUGAAGAACGCAGCGAAAUGCGAUAAGUAGUGUGAAUUGCAGAAUUCAGUGAAUCAUCGAAUCUUUGAACGCACAUUGCGCCCCUUGGUAUUCCAUGGGGCAUGCCUGUUCGAGCGUCAUUUGUACCUUCAAGCUUUGCUUGGUGUUGGGUGUUUGUCUCGCCUCUGCGCGCAGACUCGCCUCAAAACAAUUGGCAGCCGGCGUAUUGAUUUCGGAGCGCAGUACAUCUCGCGCUUUGCACUCAUAACGACGACAUCCAAAAAGUACAUUUUUUACACUCUUGACCUCGGAUCAGGUAGGGAUACCCGCUGAACUUAAGCAUAUCAAUAAGCCAAGGAA